UGGGGAAUAUUGCACAAUGGGCGCAAGCCUGCUGCAGCCAUGCCGCGUGUGUGAAGAAGGCCUUCGGGUUGUAAAGCACUUUCAGCGAGGAGGAAGGGUAGUGUGUUAAUAGCACAUUGCAUUGACGUUACUCGCAGAAGAAGCACCGGCUAACUCCGUGCCAGCAGCCGCGGUAAUACGGAGGGUGCAAGCGUUAAUCGGCAUUACUGGGCGUAAAGCGCACGCAGGCGGUUUGUUAAGUCAGAUGUGAAAUCCCCGCGCUUAACGUGGGAACUGCAUUUGAAACUGGCAAGCUAGAGUCUUGUAGAGGGGGGUAGAAUUCCAGGUGUAGCGGUGAAAUGCGUAGAGAUCUGGAGGAAUACCGGUGGCGAAGGCGGCCCCCUGGACAAAGACUGACGCUCAGGUGCGAAAGCGUGGGGAGCAAACA
rnacentral:rRNA from 1 species